rnacentral:misc_RNA from 1 species
GUGAAUCAUCGAAUUUUUGAACGCAAAUUGCACUCUCUGGUAUUCCGGAGAGUAUGCCUUUUUGAGGGUCAGUUUUAAUAAAUAUCGGUGUGGUCGCUGCCUUUCGUGGUGACGCAUUGGAUCUGCGUCGACUUGCCUUGGGUUUAGUGGCCUAAAAUUUUUUCUGAUUUUUUCUGCAAGCAUUUAUAUGAUUUUACGUACGUUUUCG